UCGAAACUCCUUUUAAGGCCUUGAAGCCUUAUGGACUUUUUGCCAUAAAGAAUAAUACGUAGAUCUUCAUUUAAGAAAUGUAGGGAGAGGUAGUCCCUAUAAUUUUUAAUUUCCAUGCCCUUUGCAAGUUGCAAAACUUUUUCAAGUUGUGCGACCUUGAAGUCCAACAAAGCCGGCCUCUCUCCUGUUAUUCUGACAUUUCUUGCCAUUUCACUUGUUUGUUCAACUUCAUC
rnacentral:lncRNA from 1 species